UUUCCGUAGGUGAACCUGCGGAAGGAUCAUUAUUGUAUAACCGAGGUGCGUGGGCCGUCGCUGACCCGAAAGGUCGUGCACGCCCGAGUGCCCUCACACACAUCCAUCUCACCCCUAUGUGCACCACCGCGUGGGUCCCCCUUUGGCUUGUUCGGAGGGGGGCUUACGUUUUCACACAAACUUUGUAUGCAGUGUAGAAUGUAUUUUUUGUUUUUGCGAUCACGCAAUCAAUACAACUUUCAACAACGGAUCUCUUGGCUCUC
rnacentral:misc_RNA from 1 species